rnacentral:misc_RNA from 1 species
UUAAGUUCAGCGGGUCUUCCUACCUGAUCCGAGGUCAACCUUGGGUAAAUAAGGCUUUUAACGGCCGGAACCCGCAGCACGCCCUGAGCGAGAUGUAUUACUACGCUCGGAGUGACUAGCGAGCCCGCCACUGGUUUCAGGGCCUGCGGCAGCCGCAGGUCCCCAACACAAGCCGGGGGCUUGAUGGUUGAAAUGACGCU